rnacentral:rRNA from 1 species
UACGUAGGUGGCAAGCGUUGUCCGGAUUUACUGGGCGUAAAGGAUGCGUAGGCGGACAUUUUAAGUCAGAUGUGAAAUACCCGAGCUUAACUUGGGUGCUGCAUUUGAAACUGGGUGUCUAGAGUGCAGGAGAGGUAAGUGGAAUUCUAGUGUAGCGGUGAAAUGCGUAGAGAUUAGGAAGAACACCAGUGGCGAAGGCGACUUACUGGACUGUAACUGACGCUGAGGCAUGAAAGCGUGGGGAGCAAACAGG